GACGAACGCUGGCGGCGUGCUUAACACAUGCAAGUCGAACGGUGAAGCGAGAGCUUGCUCUCGUGGAUCAGUGGCGAACGGGGGAGUAACACGUGAGCAAUCUGCCCCGGACUCUGGGAUAAGCGCUGGAAACGGCGUCUAAUACCGGAUAUGUCGAGUGACCGCAUGGUCUGCUCGUGGAAAGUUUUUCGGUUCGGGAUGAGCUCGCGGCCUAUCAGCUUGUUGGUGAGGUAAUGGCUCACCAAGGCGACGACGGGUAGCCGGCCUGAGAGGGUGACCGGCCACACUGGGACUAUGACACAGCCCAGACUCCUACGGGAUGCAGCAGGGGGGAAUAUUGCACAAUGGGCGCAAGCCUGAUGCAGCAACGCCGCGUGAGGGAUGACGGCCUUCGGGUUGUAAACCUCUUUUAGCAGGUAAGAAGCGAAAGUGACGGUACCUGCAGAAAAAGCACCGGCUAACUACGUGCCAGCCGCCGCGGUAA
rnacentral:rRNA from 1 species